rnacentral:rRNA from 1 species
UAUUGCACAAUGGGCGCAAGCCUGAUGCAGCAACGCCGCGUGAGGGACGACGGCCUUCGGGUUGUAAACCUCUUUUAGUAGGGAAGAAGCGAAAGUGACGGUACCUGCAGAAAAAGCACCGGCUAACUACGUGCCAGCAGCCGCGGUAAUACGUAGGGUGCAAGCGUUGUCCGGAAUUAUUGGGCGUAAAGAGCUCGUAGGCGGUUUGACGCGUCUGCUGUGAAAACUGGAGGCUCAACCUCCAGCCUGCAGUGGGUACGGGCAGACUAGAGUGCGGUAGGGGAGAUUGGAAUUCCUGGUGUAGCGGUGGAAUGCGCAGAUAUCAGGAGGAACACCGAUGGCGAAGGCAGAUCUCUGGGCCGUAACUGACGCUGAGGAGCGAAAGCGUGGGGAGCGAACAG